GAUGAACGCUGGCGGCGUGCCUAAUACAUGCAAGUCGAGCGAACGGACGAGAAGCUUGCUUCUCUGAUGUUAGCGGCGGACGGGUGAGUAACACGUGGAUAACCUACCUAUAAGACUGGGGUAACUUCGGGAAACCGGAGCUAAUACCGGAUAAUAUUUUCAACCUCAUGGUUCAAAAGUGGAAGACGGUCUUGCUGUCACUUAUAGAUGGAUCCGCGCUGCAUUAGCUCGUUGUUAAGGUAAGGGCUUACCAAGGCAACGAUGCAUAGCCGACCUGAGAGGGUGAUCGGCCACACUGGAACUGAGACACGGUCCAGACUCCUACGGGAGGCAGCAGUGGGGAACCUUCCGCAAUGGGCGAACGCCUGACGGAGCAACGCCGCGUGGGUGAUGAAGGUCUUCGGAUCGUAAAACUCUGUUAUUAGGGAAGAACAUAUGUGUAAGUAACUGUGCCCAUCUUGACGGUACCUAAUCAGAAAGCCACGGCUAACUACGUG
rnacentral:rRNA from 1 species